rnacentral:rRNA from 1 species
AGUCAAGUAAUUAAGUGCAUGUGGUGGAUGCCUUGGCAGUCAGAGGCGAUGAAAGACGUGAUAGCCUGCGAAAAGCUCCGGGGAGGCGGCAAAUAUCCUUUGAUCCGGAGAUGUCUGAAUGGGGGAACCCACCUACUUUAAGGUAGGUAUUGCAACAUGAAUACAUAGUGUUGCAAGGCGAACGAAGGGAAGUGAAACAUCUCAGUACCCUUAGGAAAAGAAAUCAAUUGAGAUUCCCUCAGUAGCGGCGAGCGAACGGGGAUCAGCCCAUUAAGUUAUGUGUGUUUUAGUGGAACGCUCUGGGAAGUGCGAACGUAGAGGGUGAUAUUCCCGUACACGAAAGGGCACACAUAAUGAUGACGAGUAGGGCGAGGCACGUGAAACCUUGUCUGAAUAUGGGGGGACCAUCCUCCAAGGCUAAAUACUCCUGACUGACCGAUAGUGAACCAGUACCGUGAGGGAAAGGCGAAAAGAACCCCUGUGAGGGGAGUGAAAUAGAUCCUGAAACCGCAUGCAUACAAGCAGUGGGAGCACCUUCGUGGUGUGACUGCGUACCUUUUGUAUAAUGGGUCAGCGACUUAUAUUCAGUAGCGAGGUUAACCGUAUAGGGGAGCCGUAGAGAAAUCGAGUCUUAAUAGGGCGUUUAGUUGCUGGGUAUAGACCCGAAACCAGGCGAUCUAUCCAUGAGCAGGUUGAAGGUUGGGUAACACUAACUGGAGGACCGAACCCACUGUCGUUGAAAAGCCAGGGGAUGACUUGUGGAUAGGGGUGAAAGGCUAAUCAAGCCUGGUGAUAGCUGGUUCUCCCCGAAAGCUAUUUAGGUAGCGCCUCGGACGAAUACCAUAGGGGGUAGAGCACUGUUUCGGCUAGGGGGUCAUCCCGACUUACCAAACCGAUGCAAACUCCGAAUACCUAUGAGUACUAUCCGGGAGACAGACUGCGGGUGCUAACGUCCGUAGUCAAGAGGAAAACAAUCCAGACCGCCAGCUAAGGCCCCAAAAUCAUAGUUAAGUGGGAAACGAUGUGGGAAGGCAUAGACAGCUAGGACGUUGGCUUAGAAGCAGCCACCCUUUAAAGAAAGCGUAAUAGCUCACUAGUCGAGUCGGCCUGCGCGGAAGAUGUAACGGGGCUAAAACUAUGUGCCGAAGCUGCGGAUGUAUACUUUGUAUACGUGGUAGGGGAGCGUUCUGUAAGCCGAUGAAGGUGUGUUGAGAAGCAUGCUGGAGGUAUCAGAAGUGCGAAUGCUGACGUGAGUAACGACAAAACGGGUGAAAAACCCGUUCGCCGAAAGACCAAGGGUUCCAGUCCAACGUUAAUCGGGGCUGGGUGAGUCGACCCCUAAGGCGAGGCCGAAAGGCGUAGUCGAUGGGAAAAUGGUUAAUAUUCCAUUACUUCUGUGUAAUGCGAUGAGAGGACGGAGAAGGCUAAAUCAGCCUGGCGUUGGUUGUCCAGGUGAAAGGAUGUAGGCAUGUAUCUUAGGCAAAUCCGGGGUACUCUAUGCUGAGAUCUGAUAGCAAGCUGUACUUGUACAGCGAAGUGGUUGAUGCCAUGCUUCCAGGAAAAGUCUCUAAGCUUCAGUUACACAGGAAUCGUACCCGAAACCGACACAGGUGGUCAGGUCGAGUAGACCAAGGCGCUUGAGAGAACUCUGCUGAAGGAACUAGGCAAAAUGGUACCGUAACUUCGGGAGAAGGUACGCUGUUGUUGGUGAUGGAACUCGCUUCCUGAGCUGACGACAGCCGCAGAAACCAGGCCGCUGCAACUGUUUAUUAAAAACAUAGCACUCUGCAAACACGAAAGUGGACGUAUAGGGUGUGAUGCCUGCCCGGUGCUGGAAGGUUAAUUGAUGGGGUUAGCGUAAGCGAAGCUCUUGAUCGAAGCCCCAGUAAACGGCGGCCGUAACUAUAACGGUCCUAAGGUAGCGAAAUUCCUUGUCGGGUAAGUUCCGACCUGCACGAAUGGCAUAAUGAUGGCGGCGCUGUCUCCAGCAGAGGCUCAGUGAAAUCGAAAUCGCUGUGAAGAUGCAGUGUACCCGCGGCUAGACGGAAAGACCCCGUGAACCUUUACUGCAGCUUGACACUGAACUUUGACCUUACUUGUGUAGGAUAGGUGGGAGGCUUUGAAGCUGGAACGCUAGUUCCAGUGGAGCCGUCCUUGAAAUACCACCCUGGUAAUGUUGAGGUUCUAACUCUGUCCCGUGAUCCGGGACGAGGACCGUGUCUGGUGGGUAGUUUGACUGGGGCGGUCUCCUCCUAAAGAGUAACGGAGGAGUACGAAGGUGCGCUCAGCGUGGUCGGAAAUCACGCGUAGAGUAUAAAGGCAAAAGCGCGCUUAACUGCGAGACCCACAAGUCGAGCAGGUACGAAAGUAGGUCUUAGUGAUCCGGUGGUUCUGUAUGGAAGGGCCAUCGCUCAACGGAUAAAAGGUACUCUGGGGAUAACAGGCUGAUACCGCCCAAGAGUUCAUAUCGACGGCGGUGUUUGGCACCUCGAUGUCGGCUCAUCUCAUCCUGGGGCUGAAGCAGGUCCCAAGGGUAUGGCUGUUCGCCAUUUAAAGAGGUACGCGAGCUGGGUUUAGAACGUCGUGAGACAGUUCGGUCCCUAUCUACCGUGGGCGCUGGAAAUUUGAGAGGAUCUGCUCCUAGUACGAGAGGACCAGAGUGGACGAACCUCUGGUGUACCGGUUGUGACGCCAGUCGCAUCGCCGGGUAGCUAUGUUCGGAAGGGAUAACCGCUGAAAGCAUCUAAGCGGGAAGCCUACCUCAAGAUAAGAUUUCCCUAGGACUUUAUGUCCUCUAAAGAGCCGUUCGAGACUAGGACGUUGAUAGGUUGGAUGUGGAAGCAUAGUGAUAUGUGAAGCUGACCAAUACUAAUUGCUCGUGAGGCUUGACUAU